rnacentral:rRNA from 1 species
GCAAGUCGAGGGGCAGCGGGGGAGUAGCAAUACUCCUGCCGGCGACCGGCGCACGGGUGAGUAACACGUAUGGAACCUGCCCGUCACAGGGGGAUAAGCGGAAGAAAUUCCGUCUAAUACCGCGUAACAACCGACGGGGGCAUCCCUGUUGGUUCAAAGGAGCGAUCCGGCUGCGGAUGGUCAUGCGGCGCAUUAGCUAGUUGGCGGGGCAACGGCCCACCAAGGCGACGAUGCGUAGGGGUUCUGAGAGGAAGGUC